GAAUCAAACGGCCCUAAAAGCCCUAAAAUCAAUUCUAAUUUUCAACUCUUUUUCACUUCACUCUACUCUCAACCUUCUCUUUACACAUCAAUGGGCGACCGUGGCCGAGAUGAAAGAGACCGCGACCGAGACCGUGACCGCGGCCGCGAUGAGAGGGACCGCGACCACCGCGAUCGUGACCGUCGGAGAGAUGUAGACGACCGUGACCGACACCGAGACCGAGACCGACGCUCCCGCCACGCCCGCUCGCGCUCACGCUCGCCAGAUCGGCGCCGCCGCUCCCGGUCACAAUCCGAAGCACGGUCCCGUUCCAGGUCCCGCUCCGUCGACCGCUCCCGCCGUCACCACCACCAUUCACGGAGGAGAGAGAAUGACGACUACGAUGACACCGACCGCAAUGUCGUCUCCGAAUUCGUCGAAGGAAUUGCUAAGGAGCAGAAGAAGAAGAAAUCGGAACGAAGAGAAGACAGAGAGAAGAGUCAGAACAAUGAUAAUGGUGGUAUUAAUGGUGAAGAAGGUGGUGAAGAUGAUGAAAUUGAGAUGAUGAAGAAAUUAGGGAUUCCGGUAGGGUUUGAUAGUACGAAAGGGAAGCCUGUUCCUGGUGCUGAUGUUAGUGGUGUUCGUGCUGUUACGAAGCGUCAGCCUCGACAGUAUAUGAAUCGUAGAGGUGGAUUCAAUCGUCCUUUGCCUGCUGAGCGCAAUCGCUAGGGUUUCUUCACUUCUCAAGAAUUUGCAGUUACAUUCUGACUGAAUGAAGCCUAUGUAGCUUGUUUUGUGCAUUUGGUAGAGUUUAAAUAUUUUGAAGAUUGCAACUGCACAAUGAACGAACUUUCAAAAACUUGCAAGGUUCUUGAAACGUGUUUAUCUUUGGAGAUUAUUGACUUCAGCAACUAGUAGCAAAAGCCAGGAUCAGAUGGAAAUUUACCAAAACUGUUGUAAUUCAUUCGUUAGAUACCAAGAGAAAUCAUCAUCAAGGAUUCAAGGGACUGGAGUUCUUGAAUAUGUUGUGACAAUAGAAGUUAAUGCUGCUGUAAAUUUCAGCCUUGUUGCUUGAUCAUGCAGCGCCCCAACACUCAGCUCGAUCUAUAACCCGUAUGUCAUUUAAUCCCUAUUGAAGUAGUUGGUUCAAGAAAACCCCUCAUUCAGUAACAUUGUUUUGUUAGUUUAGUCGGCUGAAAUGAUCCGGCCGUAUCCAAAUAUGCUAAUGACAAUAUUAAUUAGAAGAGAAUUUUGUUUUCCAGUCAUUUGUGUUAAAAGGAUCAUCUCAACUAAAAACUUAAGUUGAUGGUUGAGACCAAUUAAUAUGUUUAAUUCUCUAUUAGUUUGCGGUUUUGCACUAGGGCUACGGCAAACAAUGAGCAAAGACCCUUCACCUUUAUUCGAUUUAUGUGGUUAUCACUA